rnacentral:lncRNA from 1 species
AUGCAAAGAAAAGAGGAAAACAACAGAAUGGGAAAGACUAGAGAUCUCUUCAAGAAAAUUAGAGAUACCAAGGGAACAUGUCAUGCAAAGAUGGGCUCGAUAAAGGACAGAAAUGGUCUGGACCUAACAGAAGCAGAAGAUAUUAAGAAGAGGUGGCAAGAAUACACAGAAGAACUGUACAAAAAAGAUCUUCACGACCCAGAUAAUCAUGAUGGUGUGAUGACUCAUCUAGAGCCAGACAUCCUGGAAUGUGAAGUCAAGUGGGCCUUAGAAAGCAUCACUAAGAACAAAGCUACUGGAGGUGAUGGAAUUCUAGUUGACCUAUUUCAAAUCCUGAAAGAUGAUGCUGUGAAAGUGCUGCACUCAAUAUGCCAGCAAAUUUGGAAAACUCAGCAGUGGCCACAGAACUGGAAAAGGUCAGCUUUCAUUCCAAUCCCAAAGAAAGGCAGUGCCAAAGAAUGCUCAAACUACCGCACAAUUGCACUCAUCUCACACACUAGUAAAGUAAUGCUCAAAAUUCUCCAAGCCAGGCUUCAGCAAUACAUGAACUGUGAACUUCCAGAUGUUCAGGCUGGUUUUAGAAAAGGCAGAGGAACCAGAGAUCAAAUUGCCAACAUCUGCUGGAUCAUGGAAAAAGCAAGAGAGUUCCAGAAAAACAUCUAUUUCUGCUUUAUUGACUAUGCCAAAGCCUUUGACUGUGUGGAUCACAAUCAACUGUGGAAAAUUCUGAAAGAGAUGGGAAUACCAGACCACCUGACCUGCCUCUUGAGAAAUCUGUAUGCAGGUCAGGAAGCAGCAGUUAGAACUGGACAUGGAACAACAGACUGGUUCCAAAUAGGAAAAGGAGUACGUCAAGGCUGUGUAUUGUCACCCUGCUUAUUUAACUUCUAUGCAGAGUACAUCAUGAGAAACGCUGGACUGGAAGAAACACAAGCUGGAAUCAAGAUUGCAGGGAGAAAUAUCAAUAACCUCAGAUAUGCAGAUGACACCACCCUUAUGGCAGAAAGUGAAGAGGAACUAAAAAGCCUCUUGAUGAAAGUGAAAGUGGAGAGUGAAAAAGUUGGCCUAAAUCUCAACAUUCAGAAAAUGAAGAUCAUGGCAUUUGGUCCCAUCACUUCAUGGGAAAUAGAUGGGGAAACAGUGGAAACAGUGUCAGACUUUAUUUUGGGGGGCUCCAAAAUCACUGCAGAUGGUGAUUGCAGCCAUGAAAUCAAGAAAUGCUUACUCCUUGGAAGAAAAGUUAUGACCAACCUAGAUAGUAUAUUCAAAAGCAGAGACAUUACUUUGCUGACUAAGGUCCGUCUAGUCAAGGCUAUGGUUUUUCCAGUGGUCAUGUAUGGAUGUGAGUUGGAAUGUGAAGAAGGCUGA